AAAUAAACUCUCUUGUAACCAGUGCACAUGGCAUUGGGUAUUGGGUACCACUGCACAUGGAAAGAGAAAGGGAGAGAAUACCAUAAAACCAGAAACCAUACAGCACAAAAGCAUCAAUUGAAAUUAGAAAUUUAGAAACCAUAAAACCAGGCAAAAGCAUCAACGGAACGGGGAAAUAACAGAGGCGAGAGAGAAAACUCAGAAACAUGGAGGCGAUGGAGCAGAUGAGAUCAUGAGAAAACUCAGAAAAGAAAGAAGGACUUACCUGCAAAGGUGGAAACAGAGGCGGCGACGUGGAGGUUUGUUUGCGGCAAGGAGAAGACGUGAUUUUCAUUUUAGGUGUGCUAGUUGUAUACGCUGGAUUUGGUUCUCUAAUGAUCACUACUUGCAUCAGCUAUUUGUCUCAUUCACAGAUAUAGGCUUUACAAGAUGAUAUAACAGUCUUCAUUGGAGGGAAGACUAACAAAGCAAAGAUGGAAUUUAAAGUUUUGUUCAACCCAAUGAGAUUAUGCUCAGACUACUCAAGCAUGCGGCAAUGCACGGGUAACAUUAAUAAAUGAGGUGCAGGACCGUGCUACAAAUUUAUGGAUGCUUUGAAUGUGGUGCUGUGUACGACAAAGUUGC